UUGAACUACUGACCUCAGGUGGUCCACCUGCCUCAGCCUCCCAAAGCGCUGGGAUUACAGGCAUGUGUCACAGCGCCCAGCCCUCUGGUUUCUUUUAUCAACGAACUUUUUAGGAAUAAAAGCAACUACUCUUGCUUUAUUUAUGGCUUUGUUUUCUCCCUUUAUGCCUCUUUCGUCUGAGACCUUCUCUUUCAGUCUGUUCCCUGGAUUAACAUGCACAAUCUGAUGAUGCCUUUCUAUAGAAAGUAUUUCUGUAUAAAUACUGGUUCACAAACCUACAGAAUGCACAGGAGUGCGAAGUAAGCACAGAAGUUUGUAUCACUGGGAGGGAAGGAAUAAUCACAGCGUUCCAGCCCUAAACGGGAGGCCAAGGUAACAAUAUAUAGCCUUUACUGAGCACUUACUAUGUGCCAGGCAAGGUUCUAAUGCUUUACAGUAUAUAUUUACUAACUCAUUUCGUCCCAACAGUCACUCUAUCAGGUAAGAGAAAUGAAACCGAAGCAACUUGUUCAAGACCACACAGCAGAGCUGAUUCCAGUGCCUGUGUUCUGUACUAUCACAUCCUCUUAGUCACUGAAUUCUUCUGAUUAAUUUGGGAACAUUUCCUGCCGCAAACGAGUGAGUCAAGAGGAAUGAGGAAACAGAUUUUCGAGAUAUUAAGUAAUUUGCCCAAAGUCACCCAGCUAGCAAGCAGAGGAGCUGGGGCUGUUUGAAUCCAAAGUCCAUGACACUCCUGACCGCUGCUCAAUGCUGCCCCACGAGAACGACCAGCUGGGAAGACCCGGCUGAAAAUUCAGAGAACGUCAAGCCCAGGGAAAUGGGACGGAUCCCAGUUAGCCCGCGGCUCCGAUCUCGUCCCACACCAGAGCCUCGGGGCGAGAGAGGAAGCGGCUCCGGACGGAUGGCAAAGUGACCAUCGGAGAAGGGCAGGCAGCCUUUCCUCCCGGGGGAGCGGAGGGGACCUGCGGAGGGCGGAUUCUCUCGGCUUUUCCUGUCCCACCCCGUCGGCCUGCCCCCCACCCCCUCCGGCCUCUACGCCAA